GAGCACUGGGUGUUGUGCACAAACAAUGAAUCAUGGAACACCACAUCUAAAACUAAUGAUGUAAUGUAGGGGAUUAACAUAAGAAUAAAAAAAAGAAGAAGAAAAGCACACUGGUAUAAGAUUGAGAUUUGGGUUUUCUAUGUUAAAAUGACAAGGUUUUCUUGGAUUGUUAGUGUACUCUUUUUUUCUUUCUUAAGAUUGUAUUUAUUUAUUUGACAGAGAGAGACACAGCGAGAGAGGGAACACAAGCAGGGGGAGCGGGAGAGGGAGAAGCAGGCUCCCGGCCAAGCAGAGAGCCCGAUGUGGGGCUCGAUCCCAAGACCCUGGGAUCAUGACCUGAGCCGAAGGCCGACAGACGCUUGACGACUGAGCCACCCAGGCGCUCCUCCGAGAUUUUAUUUUUUAAAUAAUCUCUACACUGAACGUGGGGCUCGAACUCACAACCCUGAGAUCAAGAGUCGUGCUCUCUACCGACUGAGCCAGCCAGGUGCCCCUGGACUGUCAUCUCGAAGAGACACAUGCGUAGACUCAGAUAUGGCCCUGCUACCAAAUACUGGCUGUCUCUGCAGAAGUCUGGACUCAAGGUCAACUGAUAAUGGCUGCAGCCUAUGAAGAAGCGAGGUCCUGAUUCCUUACCUGAGAAAAGGAGCCUAAGACCCCAUCCAGGUUGUACCAGCUCUCAGAGCAUGCCCACAGCCUCUUCUCCUUGUCCUCAGAUAACCUCCUGACAUCAGGGACUCAGUUUUGCCUCAUUCAGAUGUCAGGUCUCCACCCCGAAGUAAACAUGGGAAUCUAUGAGAAAUUAGAUCCCAUCCAGCAAGAGCUGAAUCCGAGUCCUCUGCUCACCCCACGACGGAAAAGAAUAUGCACAGGCCUGCAUCCCUCUUCUCCUUCUCCACCAUGUCGGAAGAAAAGGGUCUCUAUCGCCUCUAUACAUAAGCAUGAAACGGGCCCGGAGAGGACGACUUUGUUUCCUGAGUUUUGUUUUGUUUUCUUCGAAAUCACCAUAGCGAUUCUAAUUCCUUUUGCCUGUCUGCUUGUGUAUGUAAUCUGUACACCCAUCCAGUGCGGUGCUGGAACUCACGACGCCCGCCGAUCAAGAGUCGCGGUCGCGUGGGCCUCCUCCGACCGAGCCAGCCAGGUGCCCUGAAAUACGUGUACUUGAAAAACCAAUGUGAAGCCUGCACCCGUGAACUUUUUUUUUUAAAGAUUUUAUUUAUUUAUUUGAGACAGAGAGAAUGAGAGAGACAGAGAGCACAUGAGAGGGGGGAAGGGUCAGAGGGAGAAGCAGACUCCCUGCCGAGCAGGGAGCCCGAUGCGGGACUCGAUCCCGGGACUCCGGGAUCAUGACCUGAGCCGAAGGCAGUCGCUUAACCAACUGAGCCACCCAGGCGCCCUUUUUUUUCUUUUCUUUUCUUUUUUUUUUUUAAUAGAUGCACCCGUGAAGUGUUUACUGCGAAACCUUCUUUUGAUCGUCGCACUCUUGAGUGGAGGCCGUACCAGUAAAGAACGUAGUUUAGCCAACUCAGGAAGAGAUCAGCUUUAAAGGAAAACCUUCUUUUCGAGUUUGUGAUGUCUGGUCCUUUCUCUCAACUCGAUCGAUGUCCAGCCUUCAGAGCCACAUUAUUUGCUUGGUCUCUCUCUCUCUCUCUCUCUCUCUCUCUCUCUCUCUCUCUCUCUCUCUCGUCUGUGUUUCCUCGUGUACUUUCCUGAUGCUCAGGAUUUAUGGUUUAGAGAGAACAGUUUUCAGCCUGGUGUGUGUGUGGGGGGGGGGGGGAUGUUGUGAAGUGGGAUCAGGGAUUCACGCGGGUAAGGAGGAGGCAAGGAGAAAGGCUUGGUUGGGAAGGAAACCAUUAAAGGUCCAUGUUGAAAUGGUGAAGUUUAUUUUAUUUAUUUAUUUAUUUAUUUAUUUAUUUACUUUUUAAAGAUUUUAUUUAU